AGAGUUUGAUCAUGGCUCAGGAUGAACGCCGGCGGUGUGCCUAAUACAUGCAAGUCGUACGCACUGGCCCAACUGAUUGAUGGUGCUUGCACCUGAUUGACGAUGGAUCACCAGUGAGUGGCGGACGGGUGAGUAACACGUAGGUAACCUGCCCCGGAGCGGGGGAUAACAUUUGGAAACAGAUGCUAAUACCGCAUAACAACAAAAACCACAUGGCUUUUGUUUGAAAGAUGGCUUUGGCUAUCACUCUGGGAUGGACCUGCGGUGCAUUAGCUAGUUGGUAAGGUAACGGCUUACCAAGGCAAUGAUGCAUAGCCGAGUUGAGAGACUGAUCGGCCACAAUGGAACUGAGACACGGUCCAUACUCCUACGGGAGGCAGCAGUAGGGAAUCUUCCACAAUGGGCGCAAGCCUGAUGGAGCAACACCGCGUGAGUGAAGAAGGGUUUCGGCUCGUAAAGCUCUGUUGUUGGAGAAGAAUAUGCGUGAGAGUAACUGUUCACGCAGUGACGGUAUCCAACCAGAAAGUCACGGCUAACUACGUGCCAGCAGCCGCGGUAAUACGUAGGUGGCAAGCGUUAUCCGGAUUUAUUGGGCGUAAAGCGAGCGCACGCGGUUGCUUAGGUCUGAUGUGAAAGCCUUCGGCUUAACCGAAGAAGUGCAUCGGAAACCGGGCGACUUGAGUGCAGAAGAGGACAGUGGAACUCC
rnacentral:rRNA from 1 species